rnacentral:rRNA from 1 species
UCCAGACUCCUACGGGAGGCAGCAGUGGGGAAUAUUGGGCAAUGGGCGCAAGCCUGACCCAGCAACGCCGCGUGAAGGAAGAAGGCUUUCGGGUUGUAAACUUCUUUUCUCAGGGACGAAGAAAGUGACGGUACCUGAGGAAUAAGCCACGGCUAACUACGUGCCAGCAGCCGCGGUAAUACGUAGGUGGCAAGCGUUAUCCGGAUUUACUGGGUGUAAAGGGCGUGUAGGCGGGACUGCAAGUCAGAUGUGAAAACCAUGGGCUCAACCUGUGGCCUGCAUUUGAAACUGUAGUUCUUGAGUACUGGAGAGGCAGACGGAAUUCCUAGUGUAGCGGUGAAAUGCGUAGAUAUCAGGAGGAACACCGGCGGCGAGGGCGGCCUGCUGGACCGUGACUGACGUUGGGGCUCGAGAGCGUGGGGAGCAAACAGGAUUAGAUACCCCGGUA